rnacentral:lncRNA from 1 species
GCUCUGGGCUGAGACUCCUGAAAUAUCCUCAGAAGACAACCAUGCUCAGGGAACAAGGGCUCUGAGGAGGAAUUUUCCCAACAGAGGGACAACCGGCAGCAAGCUGCUCAGCAAAAGCUCAGAAACCAAAAUUACUGUGGACAGGGAUGAAUCCUGAGUGCAUCGCUCUGACCAGAGGACUGCAUCCG